rnacentral:misc_RNA from 1 species
GAUGAAGAACGUAGCGAAAUGCGAUAAGUAGUGUGAAUCGCAGAAUUCAGUGAAUCAUCGAAUCUUUGAACGCACAUUGCGCCCCUUGGUAUUCCAUGGGGCAUGCCUGUUCGAGCGUCAUUUGUACCCUCAAGCUUUGCUUGGUGUUGGGUGUUUGUCCUCUCCUUUGCGUUUGGACUCGCCUUAAAGCAAUUGGCAGCCAGUGUUUUGGUAUUGAAGCGCAGCACAUUUUGCGAUUCUAGCCGAUAAUACUUGCGUCCAUAAGCCUUUUUUAACUUUUGACCUCGGAUCAGGUAGGGAUACCCGCUGAACUUAAGCAUAUCAAUAAGCGGAGGA